rnacentral:pre_miRNA from 1 species
CCUUAUCGAUGAGCAAAGAAAGUGGUUUCUUAAGACAGAAUCUACUCCUCGUGAAGAUGUUGUGAA